AGCUUUGCACAGUGGCAGUAUCUCAGACAAUGAGGUUUAUCUGAGGCAUGAUUAUUGCUAAUUGAAAACUCAAGUAAGUGUUCCCAGGUUUUUUCUAAAGUCAUUCUGCUAGUAAUUUCUUAUAGCACAAUAGUUUU
ensembl:snRNA U4 U4 spliceosomal RNA